ACUCAAAUGAAUAGACGGGGGCCCGCACAAGCAGUGGAGUAUGUGGUUUAAUUCGAAGCAACGCGAAGAACCUUACCAGGGCUUGACAUACCAUUGACAGGUAUAGAGAUAUACCCUCCCUUCGGGGCAAUGGAUACAGGUGGUGCAUGGUUGUCGUCAGCUCGUGUCGUGAGAUGUUGGGUUAAGUCCCGCAACGAGCGCAACCCCUGUUGUUAGUUGCCAUCAUUAAGUUGGGCACUCUAGCGAGACUGCCGGUGAUAAAUCGGAGGAAGGUGGGGACGACGUCAAAUCAUCAUGCCCCUUAUGUCCUGGGCUACACACGUACUACAAUGGCGAUAACAGAGGGAAGCAAGACCGCGAGGUGGAGCAAACCCCCAAAAGUCGCCCCAGUUCAGAUUGCAGGCUGCAACUCGCCUGCAUGAAGUCGGAAUUGCUAGUAAUGGCAGGUCAGCAUACUGCCGUGAAUACGUUCCCGGGCCUUGCACACACCGCCCGU
rnacentral:rRNA from 1 species